rnacentral:rRNA from 1 species
UACGAAGGGGGCUAGCGUUGUUCGGAUUUACUGGGCGUAAAGCGCACGUAGGCGGAUUGUUAAGUCGGGGGUGAAAUCCUGGAGCUCAACUCCAGAAUUGCCUUCGAUACUGGCUUUCUAGAGGCUGGAAGAGGUUAGUGGAAUUCCCAGUGUAGAGGUGAAAUUCGUAGAUAUUGGGAAGAACACCAGUGGCGAAGGCGGCUAACUGGUCCAGAUCUGACGCUGAGGUGCGAAAGCGUGGGGAGCAAACAGGAUUAGAAACCCCCGUAGUCC